rnacentral:rRNA from 1 species
AACGAACGCUGGCGGCAGGCCUAACACAUGCAAGUCGAGGGGGAAGCCACUUUCGGGUGGUGGAGACCGGCGCACGGGUGAGUAACGCGUGGGCAUCUGCCCUGGGGUGGGGGAUAACCGCUGGAAACGGCGGCUAAUACCGCAUACGCCUUGAGAGGGAAAGAUUUAUCGCCCUGGGAUGAGCCCGCGUUGGAUUAGCUUGUUGGUGAGGUAAAGGCUCACCAAGGCGACGAUCCAUAGCUGGUCUGAGAGGAUGAUCAGCCACACUGGGACUGAGACACGGCCCAGACUCCUACGGGAGGCAGCAGUGGGGAAUAUUGGACAAUGGGGGCAACCCUGAUCCAGCCAUGCCGCGUGUGUGAAGAAGGCCUUAGGGUUGUAAAGCACUUUCACCGGUGAAGAUGAUGACGGUAGCCGGAGAAGAAGCCCCGGCUAACUCCGUG